rnacentral:rRNA from 1 species
AGCGAACGCUGGCGGCAGGCUUAACACAUGCAAGUCGAGCGGGCACUUUCGGGUGUCAGCGGCGGACGGGUGAGUAACGCGUGGGAACGUGCCCUCUGGUUCGGAAUAACUCAGGGAAACUUGAGCUAAUACCGGAUACGCCCUUUUGGGGAAAGGCUUGCUGCCGGAGGAUCGGCCCGCGUCUGAUUAGCUAGUUGGUGAGGUAACGGCUCACCAAGGCGACGAUCAGUAGCUGGUCUGAGAGGAUGAUCAGCCACACUGGGACUGAGACACGGCCCAGACUCCUACGGGAGGCAGCAGUGGGGAAUAUUGGACAAUGGGCGCAAGCCUGAUCCAGCCAUGCCGCGUGAGUGAUGAAGGCCUUAGGGUUGUAAAGCUCUUUUAUCCGGGACGAUAAUGACGGUACCGAAGGAAAAAGCCCCGGCUAACUUCGUG